rnacentral:rRNA from 1 species
AUAUUGGGCGUAGAGCUCGUAGGCGGUUUGUCGCGUCUGCCGUGAAAGUCCGGGGCUCAACUCCGGAUCUGCGGUGGGUACGGGCAGACUAGAGUGAUGUAGGGGAGACUGGAAUUCCUGGUGUAGCGGUGAAAUGCGCAGAUAUCAGGAGGAACACCGAUGGCGAAGGCAGGUCUCUGGGCAUUAACUGACGCUGAGGAGCGAAAGCAUGGGGAGCGAACAGGAUUAGAUACCCUGGUAGUCCAUGCCGUAAACGUUGGGCACUAGGUGUGGGGGACAUUCCACGUUUUCCGCGCCGUAGCUAACGCAUUAAGUGCCCCGCCUGGGGAGUACGGCCGCAAGGCUAAAACUCAAAGGAAUUGACGGGGGCCCGCACAAGCGGCGGAGCAUGCGGAUUAAUUCGAUGCAACGCGAAGAACCUUACCAAGGCUUGACAUGAACCGGAAACGCCUGGAAACAGGUGCCCCACUUGUGGUCGGUUUACAGGUGGUGCAUGGUUGUCGUCAGCUCGUGUCGUGAGAUGUUGGGUUAAGUCCCGCAACGAGCGCAACCCUCGUUCUAUGUUGCCAGCACGUGAUGGUGGGGACUCAUAGGAGACUGCCGGGGUCAACUCGGAGGAAGGUGGGGACGACGUCAAAUCAUCAUGCCCCUUAUGUCUUGGGCUUCACGCAUGCUACAAUGGCCGGUACAAAGGGUUGCGAUACUGUGAGGUGGAGCUAAUCCCAAAAAGCCGGUCUCAGUUCGGAUUGGGGUCUGCAACUCGACCCCAUGAAGUCGGAGUCGCUAGUAAUCGCAGAUCAGCAACGCUGCGGUGAAUACGUUCCCGGGGCCUUGUACACACCGCCCGUCAAGUCACGAAAGUUGGUAACACCCGAAGCCGGUGGCCUAACCCCUUGUGGGGGGAGCCGUCGAAGGUGGGACUG